rnacentral:rRNA from 1 species
UAGUCCACGCCGUAAACGAUGAUCACUCGAUGUUGGCGAUACACAGUCAGCGUCCAAGCGAAAGUGAUAAGUGAUCCACCUGGGGAGUACGAUCGCAAGGUUGAAACUCAAAGGAAUUGACGGGGGCCCGCACAAGCGGAGGAACAUGUGGUUUAAUUCGAUGAUACGCGAGGAACCUUACCUGGGCUCAAAUGUAUAGUGACAGUCUCGGAAACGAGAUUUUUCUUCGGAACAUUAUACAAGGUGCUGCAUGGUUGUCGUCAGCUCGUGCCGUGAGGUGUCGGGUUAAGUCCCAUAACGAGCGCAACCCCUAUUCUUAGUUGCCAGCAUGUAAUGAUGGGGACUCCAAGGAAACUGCCUACGCAAGUAGCGAGGAAGUGGGGAUGACGUCAAAUCAGCACGGCCCUUAUGUCCAGGGCUACACACGUGUUACAAUGGUCGGUACAGAGGGCAGCCACUUGGUGACAAGGAGCUAAUCUCGAAAAUCGGUCUCAGUUC